CUGACACUCUAAUCCAUUACUGCUCAGUACAGAGGGGAUGGGCUGUAGGGACUCUUGUUUCACAUCCAAACAUUAAACAUGGUUUAACACUGAAUGGAAGGACGGCAGCAGGAGACUCCAAACACUAUAUGGAGCAGUUACAUAGUCGGCUUUGAGAGAAAUUGCAUUUUUCCACUGGAAGCGGGGGUCGUCACAUGUACAGGGAAAACCGGGCUCUUGUAGAACAUGUUAUUCUGUUUAUUUUCAGUUAGAGUUUUCCAAUAAACGUGGAAUGAGUGUAUUUAUUAUUCUUUCCCCAAAUCUCC